GAUGAACGCUGGCGGCGUGCCUAAUACAUGCAAGUCGAGCGAACAGAUGAGGAGCUUGCUCCUCUGACGUUAGCGGCGGACGGGUGAGUAACACGUGGAUAACCUACCUAUAAGACUGGGAUAACUUCGGGAAACCGGAGCUAAUACCGGAUAAUAUAUUGAACCGCAUGGUUCAAUAGUGAAAGACGGUUUUGCUGUCACUUAUAGAUGGAUCCGCGCCGCAUUAGCUAGUUGGUAAGGUAACGGCUUACCAAGGCAACGAUGCGUAGCCGACCUGAGAGGGGGAUCGGCCAAAACGGAACUGGGACAAGGUCCCGAAUCCCAAGGGAGGCAGCAGUAGGGAAUCCUUCGGCAUGGGGGAAAGCCUGGCGGAGCAAAGCCGCGGGGGUGAUGAAGGUCUUCCGAUCGUAAAACCUUGUUAAUAGGGAAAAAACAAUGUGUAAGGAACCUAGCCAGUUCUGAACGGAACUAAUUAGAAAGCCACCGGCAACCUCCUG
rnacentral:rRNA from 1 species